AUUGAACGCUGGCGGCAGGCCUAACACAUGCAAGUCGAACGAGUGGCGGACGGGUGAGUAAUGUCUGGGAAACUGCCUGAUGGAGGGGGAUAACUACUGGAAACGGUAGCUAAUACCGCAUACCAUCAGAUGUGCCCAGAUGUGAUUAGCUAGUGUGUGGGGUAACGGCUCACCAAGGCGACGAUCCCUAGCUUGUCUGAGAGUAUGACCAGCAACACUGGAACUGAUACACGUGCAAGACUCCGACGGGAGGCAGCAGGGGGGAAUAUUGCACAAUGGGCGCAAGCCUGAUGCAGCCAUGCCGCGUGUAUGAAGAAGGCCUUCGGGUUGUAAAGUACUUUCAGCGGGGAGGCGUUACCCGCAGAAGAAGCACCGGCUAACUCCGUGCCAGCAGCCGCGGUAAUAC
rnacentral:rRNA from 1 species